rnacentral:rRNA from 1 species
AUUGAACGCCGGCGGCAUGCCUUACACAUGCAAGUCGAACGGCAGCGGGGACUUCGGUCCGCCGGCGAGUGGCGAACGGGUGAGUAAUGUAUCGGAACGUACCAUUCAGUGGGGGAUAACUAUCCGAAAGGAUAGCUAAUACCGCAUAUUCUGUGAGCAGGAAAGCAGGGGAUCGCAAGACCUUGCGACGAUGUAGCGGCCUAUAUCAGAGUAGCUAGUUGGGGAGGUAACGGCUCACCAAGGCUACGGUCUGUAGCGGGUGUCAGAGGAUGAACCGCCACACUGGGACUGAGACACGGCCCAGACUACUACGGGAGGCAGCAGUGGGGAAUUUUGGACAAUGGGCGCAAGCCUGAUCCAGCCAUGCCGCGUGAGUGAAGAAGGCCUUCGGGUUGUAAAGCUCUUUCGGCCGGGAAGAAAUCGCAUCAGCUAAUACCUGGUGUGGAUGACGGUACCGGAAUAAGAAGCACCGGCUAACUACGUGCCAGCCGCCGCAGUAA